AAAAAAAGUAUUUUAAAAUGUUUGUUCGAAAUAAAAUAUCGAGAUGCAAUCGUGGAAUCGUUUUGGAUGGAAGGACGUCAAAAUGCCCUCGCCCGAACAGCCAAAAAGUUUUUGUGGUGUGGAGCCUGGAGCGAAAAUCGGAGCUAAUCAUCAAUUAUCUUGGUUUCGGUGGUUGGCGAUGGUUGUGUUAUUCCACAGAAGUCGAAUAUAGAGAAAGUUCUUGUUAAAAAAGCUCAUGGGGAAAAUGAUGAAACAGAAAAAAUCGGAGUCAAAGCUUACAUCCUCAACAACGACACAGAAGCUAGCUCUUCGCAUCCGAUUCAGAAGAUGAAUUACCAACGCAAUCGACAAAAACAGAAAUUCCAAAAAUGAUGAGACUAUCACAUCUAAUCAAUGCGGACGAAAGCGAUUACAAUUCAACAACCAGUGACGAAGAUGAUGAUUCACACCAAGGCUCUCCAAUACCUGAUGAUGCAAAUAGUAAUCACCUUGUACCAAUAGAAACUAUAUUCCUGCUAAUCAUAGCGUGGCUCCUUUCUUGCAUGCACCUCAUCUACAGUAUUUUUAUCCGAAGUCUUGGACUCUUUGGUUCGUGGAAUUCAACUCAAAUCCAAUCCGGAUUUCUUGAUUCUUGAAAUCAACUCAUCUCGCUAUG